rnacentral:rRNA from 1 species
GUAGCGGUGAAAUGCGUAGAGAUCUGGAGGAAUACCGGUGGCGAAGGCGGCCCCCUGGACGAAGACUGACGCUCAGGUGCGAAAGCGUGGGGAGCAAACAGGAUUAGAUACCCCUGGUAGUCCACGCCGUAAACGAUGUCGACUUGGAGGUUGUGCCCUUGAGGCGUGGCUUCCGGAGCUAACGCGUUAAGUCGACCGCCUGGGGAGUACGGCCGCAAGGUUAAAACUCAAAUGAAUUGACGGGGGCCCGCACAAGCGGUGGAGCAUGUGGUUUAAUUCGAUGCAACGCGAAGAACCUUACCUGGUCUUGACAUCCACGGAAGUUUUCAGAGAUGAGAAUGUGCCUUCGGGAACCGUGAGACAGGUGCUGCAUGGCUGUCGUCAGCUUGUGUUGUGAAAUGUUGGGUUAAGUCCCGCAACGAGCGCAACCCUUAUCCUUUGUUGCCAGCGGUCCGGCCGGGAACUCAAAGGAGACUGCCAGUGAUAAACUGGAGGAAGGUGGGGAUGACGUCAAGUCAUCAUGGCCCUUACGACCAGGGCUACACGGGUGCUACAAUGGCGCAUACAAAGAGAAGCGACCUCGCGAGAGCAAGCGGACCUCAUAAAGUGCGUCGUAGUCCGGAUUGGAGUCUGCAACUCGACUCCAUGAAGUCGGAAUCGCUAGUAAUCGUGGAUCAGAAUGCCACGGUGAAUACGUUCC